rnacentral:rRNA from 1 species
CAUUAUACAGCGAAACUGCGAAUGGCUCAUUAUAUAAGUUAUCGUUUAUUUGAUAGUACCUUACUACUUGGAUAACCGUGGUAAUUCUAGAGCUAAUACAUGCUAAAAAUCCCGACUUCGGAAGGGAUGUAUUUAUUAGAUUAAAAACCAAUGCCCUUCGGGGCUCACUGGUGAUUCAUGAUAACUCCUCGAAUCGCAUGGCCUUGUGCCGGCGAUGGUUCAUUCAAAUUUCUUCCCUAUCAACUUUCGAUGUUUGGGUAUUGGCCAAACAUGGUUGCAACGGGUAACGGAGGGUUAGGGCUCGACCCCGGAGAAGGAGCCUGAGAAACGGCUACUACAUCCAAGGAAGGCAGCAGGCGCGCAAAUUACCCAAUCCCGACACGGGGAGGUAGUGACAAUAAAUACUGAUACAGGGCUCUUUUGGGUCUUGUAAUUGGAAUGAGUACAAUUUAAAUCCCUUAACGAGGAACAAUUGGAGGGCAAGUCUGGUGCCAGCAGCCGCGGUAAUUCCAGCUCCAAUAGCGUAUAUUAAAGUUGUUGUGGUUAAAAAGCUCGUAGUUGAACCUUGGGCCUGGCUGGCCGGUCCGCCUCACCGCGUGUACUGGUCCGGCCGGGCCUUUCCCUCUGUGGAACCCCAUGCCCUUCACUGGGUGUGGCGGGGAAACAGGACUUUUACUGUGAAAAAAAUUAGAGUGCUCCAGGCAGGCCUAUGCUCGAAAUACAUUAGCAUGGAAAUAAUAGAAUAGGACGUGUGGUUCUAUUUUGUUGGUUUCUAGGACCGCCGUAAUGAUUAAUAGGGACAGUCGGGGGCAUC